rnacentral:rRNA from 1 species
UACGAAGGGGGCUAGCGUUGUUCGGAUUUACUGGGCGUAAAGCGCACGUAGGCGGAUCGUUAAGUCGGGGGUGAAAUCCUGGAGCUCAACUCCAGAACUGCCUUCGAUACUGGCGAUCUUGAGUCCGGAAGAGGUGAGUGGAACUCCUAGUGUAGAGGUGGAAUUCGUAAAUAUUAGGAAUGAACGACCAGCUAGGCGGAAGGCGGCGUCCACUGGUCCGGUACUGAGCUGAGGUGCGAAGCGUGGGGAGCAAACAGGAUUGAGA